AUGCUCGCUUCAGCAGCACAUAUACUAAAAUUGGAAUGAGACAGAGAAGAUUAGCCUGGCCCCUGCACAGGGAUGUCACACAGAUUCAUGAAGCAUUCCAUAUUUAA
ensembl:snRNA U6 U6 spliceosomal RNA